ensembl:snRNA U6 U6 spliceosomal RNA
CAGCUAAAUCUUGGGCAGCACAUAUACUAAAACUGGAACGAUACAGAGAAGAUUGGCAUGGCUCCUGCACAAGGAUGACACCGAAAUUCAUGAAGAUUUAUUUAAUUCU